GAAAAAAGUUGUCAACUAUAGGGCCACAAAUAGGGAUGGCAUCAUCUUAGACAGACCCUGAGUUUAGUACAGCAGCCUCGCCAGAAGAGAAAAGAAACCCUAGUUGACCCGAUCCCCUCCGCGCCUUUGGGCAGGCCGCCGCCAGCUCUCCUCAUCGCCCUUGCGGCCGCCGGCGACAACCACUCCCCGCCGCGUCCUUGCCUCCUCCGUCCAGGGGUAUGUCCUUUUUGUGUUUUGGGCAGGCACGGGAUUCCUCGUGUAAUCGUGGGCCGAUUUCGGUUGGGGGUUCAGAUCCCAAGCGGACUCGACUCGAAAAGGAGCUCUUUUUAUUCAAAUCCUCGACCUGAGGGAGAUGCUCUAAUCAGGAUUGGAACCGAAAAUCCGUCCGUAAAUCCAUAGAAUAAAAAAAGGCAGCCUCAGAGGAGCAACCAGGCCUUGCGCAAUCGAAAGAGAAGAAAAGGAGCCGUUUAUUUUUAUAUUUAUUAAUAGCAAAGUUUGUGUCACGAGAUAUAGUCAGUAAUCAUUAGGAUGUGAUUCUCCUAUUCUUGUGCUGCCCUUGUUAGCGGACUAGCCGCAGGAGGUUUCGACUUCUUUGAUCCAUCUAAUGAGGCUAUCCCUGGCCAAUGAGGGACUUUGCGGGAGAUGGAAAACAAUAAUAAAGCCAAAGCUCGCUGCCACGAAGCAGCUUCGGAUGAAGCUGAAGUUGAUAGGCUUAGCAAGCUGCCAGAUCACGUUCUACUCAACAUCCUGGAGAGGGUUCGCACGAUAGAUGCCUUGAGAACCUGCAUCCUCUCUAAGAGAAUGCUCAAGCUUCCCCCCAUGCUCUCGCUGCUUGAUAUAGACAUUGGUUCCCUUGCGCGUUACAUCAAGCCCAAGGUCGACACCACUAAUCGUAUUUUUCAGUACAACACUGCUGUGGCUGCUAUCAUUGAGAAGGUCCUGAGUGUGAGGAAUCCUGAGAUCCCCAUCCGCAAACUGAGGGUCAGGUUCUGUUUGAGGCCUGAUGAAUGUCUCUCCAUCAGCCAAGUCGUCGCCCAUGCCAUGGCAACCCAAAAGCUCGAUGUUGCUGAGUUUGUGGUCCUCACGGAGACGAUUUGUUUGAAAUGCACUGAAGACCAUCUCCUCUGUUAUGCCCCAAGCGCUUCAAUAGUUGGCUUGGUGAUUGUCCUGCCAUGUUUGCUGGUCUCACGCGCCUGUGGCUGCGCAAUAUGAGGUUUGGUGAACUGGACAUCCCCAACAUCCUCAGCGCCUGUAAGAGGUUGGAAUCACUGCGUCUCUCCUAUUGUGACGCAGGGGUCCAAUCUGUGCUUCAAGUAGAACAUGCUCAACUUGUUGAGCUCCACAUCGACUAUGGGGAAUUUGAAGCAGUCCAACUCAGCUGUCUACCAAAACUCCAACGUGUCAAAUAUGUUGGUUGGUCUUACCAAGAAGAUCCCCUGAUUUUUGUUUCUGUCCCGCAGCUUUCAAAGCUAACACUCGAAAAAGAUGGUGUUAGCUCAACUAGUAAUCUCCAGUUAAGUCAGCUCCUUGCUAAUGUACCCUGGAUAAGCGACCUCCAUCUGGAUUUUAGAAGUGAAAAGAUUUGGGUUCUACCUGAAUGCCCCAGACUGCUUGUGCAUGUGCUUGGCAAGCUACAGAUUGUGAAUCUGGACAAUCUUCCGCAAGGAUGUGAUAUCGCUUGGACCAUGUUCAUUCUUGAAGCGGCAAGCUCCCUAAAGGAGCUAUGCGUCACGGUGUGGGAUCAUUUGUGCAAAAUGGAGACAGACGAGGAUGUCCGUAAGGAACUUGGUUACUGUGAGAAAGCAAAUGUGGAGUACCAACCAUCUAUAGUUCAUUUUAAGCACAAGAAUCUGAUUAAGCUCACCGUUUACGGCUUCCAACCUGAGGACAACUUUGUGCGAUACGUUAGGCGUGUCAUGGAGAUUGCAGUGAACCUGAAGGAGAUAUCUCUGUAUGACUGGCAGGUCUGUAAGCGCUGCAGGGACUUGGAUCCCAGUAUCAAGGUCUGUCCUUCUCGGUAUCCACGGACCAGUGAGCAGAAGGAUAUGUUGAGGGUGGAGAUUACUAAGGAGUUGGUCAUGGCUUCGCCUGCUGUGAUUCACUUCAGGUCCUAAUUAAUAAUUGAAAAAUAAGAUGCAUGGCGUCAUCAGUAAAAUCUAGAGUCCAUCUGUCCAUGUAAAUCAUUCAUGGCAUAUGUACUCUUAUUUAUCGUCUAUGUAGUUUCAAGGAGCUUCGGUGCUCUCUCCAUAAUUCAGUAGUCACUGCAUUUGUAUUCUUAUUUAUUUAUCCCUCAACCGAAGCUUGUACUGAUGCCUUAGGGCAAAAAUAGUUAUUAAUAAAUGUUUUGAAUAUCAUGAUAAUUAUCUAUGCC
rnacentral:rRNA from 1 species